rnacentral:rRNA from 1 species
CGUUUGACCUCGGAUCAGGUAGGGAUACCCGCUGAACUUAAGCAUAUCAAUAAGCGGAGGAAAAGAAACCAACAGGGAUUGCCCUAGUAACGGCGAGUGAAGCGGCAACAGCUCAAAUUUGAAAUCUGGCUCUUUUAGAGUCCGAGUUGUAAUUUGCAGAGGGCGCUUUGGCUUUGGCAGCGGUCCAAGUUCCUUGGAACAGGACGUCACAGAGGGUGAGAAUCCCGUACGUGGUCGCUAGCUAUUGCCGUGUAAAGCCCCUUCGACGAGUCGAGUUGUUUGGGAAUGCAGCUCUAAAUGGGAGGUAAAUUUCUUCUAAAGCUAAAUAUUGGCCAGAGACCGAUAGCGCACAAGUAGAGUGAUCGAAAGAUGAAAAGCACUUUGGAAAGAGAGUCAAACAGCACGUGAAAUUGUUGAAAGGGAAGCGCUUGCAGCCAGACUUGCUUGCAGUUGCUCAUCCGGGCUUUUGCCCGGUGCACUCUUCUGCAGGCAGGCCAGCAUCAGUUUGGGCGGUGGGAUAAAGGUCUCUGACACGUUCCUUCCUUCGGGUUGGCCAUAUAGGGGAGACGUCAUACCACCAGCCUGGACUGAGGUCCGCGCAUCUGCUAGGAUGCUGGCGUAAUGGCUGUAAGCGGCCCGUCUUGAAACACGGACCAAGGAGUCUAACAUCUAUGCGAGUGUUUGGGUGUCAAGCCCGAGCGCGUAAUGAAAGUGAACGGAGGUGGGAACCCGCAAGGGUGCACCAUCGACCGAUCCUGAAGUUUACGGAAGGAUUUGAGUAAGAGCAUGGCUGUUGGGACCCGAAAGAUGGUGAACUAUGCUUGAAUAGGGUGAAGCCAGAGGAAACUCUGGUGGAGGCUCGCAGCGGUUCUGACGUGCAAAUCGAUCGUCAAAUUUGGGCAUAGGGGCGAAAGACUAAUCGAACUAUCUAGUAGCUGGUUCCUGCCGAAGUUUCCCUCAGGAUAGCAGU